AGUUAAUGAACUUGAAUAAGUAUAUAUUUUGAAAAUAUAAAAUGAAAGUAAAAUCUUUCAUUAACUU
rnacentral:tRNA from 1 species